CCUACGGGAGGCAGCAGUGAGGAAUAUUGGUCAAUGGGCGAGAGUCUGAACCAGCCAAGUAGCGUGAGGGAUGACUGUCCUAUGGAUUGUAAACUUCUUUUAUAAGGGAAUAAAACGUGGGACGUGUCCUUUUUUGUAUGUACCUUAUGAAUAAGGAUCGGCUAACUCCGUGCCAGCAGCCGCGGUAAUACGGAGGAUCCGAGCGUUAUCCGGAUUUAUUGGGUUUAAAGGGAGCGUAGGUGGCUUGUUAAGUCAGUGGUGAAAGUCUGUGGCUCAACCGUAAAAUUGCAGUUGAGACUGGCAGUCUUGAGUAUAGUUGAGGCAGGCGGAAUUCGUGGUGUAGCGGUGAAAUGCUUAGAUAUCACGCAGAACCCCGAUUGCGAAGGCAGCUUACUGUACCGCCACUGACACUGAGGCACGAAAGCGCGGGGAUCAAACAGGAUUAGAUACCCGGGUAGUC
rnacentral:rRNA from 1 species